AAAUAAUUAUCCCAUUUAAUUAUGCAUUAAAUUUUAGUGUCGACUUAUUGAUAGCUCGAUUACCAGUCAAAUAGUUUCGAUGUUUUCUAUACUAUGAAGAAAAUUUGAUCUGAUUAGAUUAAUUCAGAUGUAAAUUUAUGUUAUACGGUGAAUGUAUCGAGUCAUAUAUUAUGCAGAAUAUAUUGAGAAAAAUGGUAAACUAAUUAAAAGUGCUAACAAUUUCUUAGGAAGUUAUCGAUAUACCUAAUUAUUAGAAGCUGUAACAAAUGUUCAAAGAGUCAGAGUAUACUUUAUUAGAAGUGUGUUAGAUAGAAUUAUACACUUUAAAGAAAAUAUCUUUUAUUAUUGCAGGAUUUAUGAAAUGAUUACAUAAAUAUACUAACAACAAAUUGCAAUGCAUCUGUAUAUUA